UAUGCUUCUUGACCUUUUGGCUUAGAUCAAGUGUAGUAUCUGUUCUUGUCAGUCAUUGGGAAAAGAACACUGACCCCCUUUCGCCAAUUAGGGGGCCAGUUAGUACUUCCUUCAGGUAAUUAGGAGGAGGUGGCUGGGAGCCUUUUCCUCCCGGGUUGAAUCUGGCUUUGGCUUGUCCCCAAUUGUAGGUAGGGCUCU